GAAGGGAAGGGGGGAGGAGGGGGAGGAGGGAUAGGGUGGUGGGGAGGGAGUGGGGGGGAGCUGUUCCGCUAGCCACACCAAUUUCCUAACCCCCCUUUUUUUUCACCUCCCCUCUUCUUCUUCUUCUUUUUCUUCUUCUCUCCCCCAUUUCCAACCUUAACCACCUCACCCUGCACCUUUCCUUUUACCCCUCUCCUUCCCCUCUUCUUCUUC